rnacentral:rRNA from 1 species
GGAGGUGGCAAGCGUUACUCGGUUUGACUGGGUGUAAAGGGGUCCGUAGGGCGGGCCUGACAAGUGAAAGGUGAAAUCCUUCGGCUCAACUGAAGAAUUGCCCUUUUAAACUGUUAGGCUCGAGGAUGGUAGAGGAAAGUGGAACUGUUGGUGUAAAGGUGAAAUUUGUGGAUAUCAACAGGAACGCCCGUAGUGAAGACGACUUUCUGGAUCAUUCCUGACGCUGAGGGACGAAAGCUAGGGGAGCAAACAGGAUUAGAUACCCUGGUAGUCCUAGCCGUAAACGAUGAGCACUAGGUGUUUGUACUUUUAGUAUGGGCGCCGUAGCUAACGCGUUAAGUGCUCCACCUGGGGACUACGGCCGCAAGGCUA